GAUUUUCGGGCUUCUGCAAAAGGAAAUCAUAUUCAGACGCUAACAUAAAAGACAUGUCAUGAAUGAAUCCAAACCAUCAGAAGAUGUAAAGAUCUAUAUCAUCAUCAAUAUGCCAAGACCUAAAGCUAACUAACAUCCAUCACUCAUCUUAAACCUAAACAGGUAUACUAUUCCAGCACAUAAGCAAAAGGCACCCAAGGCUUGCUAACACGAAAACACUGCAUUUAUCACUCUUUCGCAUUUGCGAUAUUCCAAGCCAUCUUUCUAACCAUAUAACUAAUCACUUUUACACUACACACUAAUCACAAAGAGAAAUAAUUUCUGGAACGGUUGAAGAAAAAGGUAGGCUACCUCGUCAAUGUCAUCAAUAUCGAC